GACGAGCGCUGGCGGCGUGCUUAACACAUGCAAGUCGAACGGAAAGGCCCUGCUUUUGUGGGGUGCUCAAGUGGCGAACGGGUGAGUAACACGUGAGUAACCUGCCCUUGACUUUGGGAUAACUUCAGGAAACUGGGGCUAAUACCGGAUAGGAGCUCCUGCUGCAUGGUGGGGGUUGGAAAGUUUCGGCGGUUGGGGAUGGACUCGCGGCUUAUCAGCUUGUUGGUGGGGUAGUGGCUUACCAAGGCUUUGACGGGUAGCCGGCCUGAGAGGGUGACCGGCCACAUUGGGACUGAGAUACGGCCCAGACUCCUACGGGAGGCAGCAGUGGGGAAUAUUGCACAAUGGGCGGAAGCCUGAUGCAGCAACGCCGCGUGCGGGAUGACGGCCUUCGGGUUGUAAACCGCUUUCGCCUGUGACGAAGCGUGAGUGACGGUAAUGGGUAAAGAAGCACCGGCUAACUACGUG
rnacentral:rRNA from 1 species